CCUACGGUGGGCAGCAGUGAGGAAUAUUGGUCAAUGGUCGGGAGACUGAACCAGCCAAGCCGCGUGAGGGAGGAAGGUACAGAGUAUCGUAAACCUCUUUUGUCAGGGAACAAAGGCGGGGACGUGUCCCCGGAUGAGUGUACCUGAAGAAAAAGCAUCGGCUAACUCCGUGCCAGCAGCCGCGGUAAUACGGAGGAUGCGAGCGUUAUCCGGAUUUAUUGGGUUUAAAGGGUGCGUAGGCGGGCUGUUAAGUCAGCGGUCAAAUGUCGGGGCUCAACCCCGGCCUGCCGUUGAAACUGGCGGCCUCGAGUGGGCGAGAAGUAUGCGGAAUGCGUGGUGUAGCGGUGAAAUGCAUAGAUAUCACGCAGAACUCCGAUUGCGAAGGCAGCAUACCGGCGCCCUACUGACGCUGAGGCACGAAAGCGUGGGUAUCGAACAGGAUUAGAUACCCCUGUAGUC
rnacentral:rRNA from 1 species